rnacentral:rRNA from 1 species
AACGAACGCUGGCGGCAUGCCUAACACAUGCAAGUCGAACGAGACCUCCGGGUCUAGUGGCGCACGGGUGCGUAACACGUGGGAACCUGCCCUUAGGUUCGCAAUAACUCACCGUAGGGGGUGCUAAUACCGGUGAAUGUAUUAGGACCAACGAUUUAUGGCGUCUGGAUGGGCGCGGGUUGGAUUAGUUAGUUGGUAGGGUAAAAGCCUACCAAGGGGACGUUCCAGGGCUGGUCUGAGAGGAUGCUCAGCCACAAUGGAACUGCGACACGGCCCAGACUGCGACGGGAGGGAGCAGAAGGGUGUAUUGUGCACGGGGCGAAGGCCUGGUCCAGCCGCGCCGCGUGAGUGAUGAAGGCCUUAGGGUUCUAAAGCCCUUUGACCCGAGAUGAUAAUGACGGUACCGGGUAAAGAAGCACCGGCUAACUCCGUG